rnacentral:rRNA from 1 species
GGCGAACCGGGGGAACUGAAACAUCUAAGUACCCCGAGGAAAAGAAAUCAACCGAGAUUCCCCCAGUAGCGGCGAGCGAACGGGGAGCAGCCCAGAGCCUGAAUCAGUGUGUGUGUUAGUGGAAGCGUCUGGAAAGGCGCGCGAUACAGGGUGACAGCCCCGUACACAAAAAUGCACAUAUUGUGAGCUCGAUGAGUAGGGCGGGACACGUGGUAUCCUGUCUGAAUAUGGGGGGACCAUCCUCCAAGGCUAAAUACUCCUGACUGACCGAUAGUGAACCAGUACCGUGAGGGAAAGGCGAAAAGAACCCCGGCGAGGGGAGUGAAAAAGAACCUGAAACCGUGUACGUACAAGCAGUGGGAGCCUCUUUUAUGGGGUGACUGCGUACCUUUUGUAUAAUGGGUCAGCGACUUAUAUUCUGUAGCAAGGUUAACCGAAUAGGGGAGCCGAAGGGAAACCGAGUCUUAACUGGGCGUUAAGUUGCAGGGUAUAGACCCGAAACCCGGUGAUCUAGCCAUGGGCAGGUUGAAGGUUGGGUAACACUAACUGGAGGACCGAACCGACUAAUGUUGAAAAAUUAGCGGAUGACUUGUGGCUGGGGGUGAAAGGCCAAUCAAACCGGGAGAUAGCUGGUUCUCCCCGAAAGCUAUUUAGGUAGCGCCUCGUGAAUUCAUCUCCGGGGGUAGAGCACUGUUUCGGCAAGGGGGUCAUCCCGACUUACCAACCCGAUGCAAACUGCGAAUACCGGAGAAUGUUAUCACGGGAGACACACGGCGGGUGCUAACGUCCGUCGUGAAGAGGGAAACAACCCAGACCGCCAGCUAAGGUCCCAAAGUCAUGGUUAAGUGGGAAACGAUGUGGGAAGGCCCAGACAGCCAGGAUGUUGGCUUAGAAGCAGCCAUCAUUUAAAGAAAGCGUAAUAGCUCACUGGUCGAGUCGGCCUGCGCGGAAGAUGUAACGGGGCUAAACCAUGCACCGAAGCUGCGGCAGCGACGCUUAUGCGUUGUUGGGUAGGGGAGCGUUCUGUAAGCCUGUGAAGGUGUGCUGUGAGGCAUGCUGGAGGUAUCAGAAGUGCGAAUGCUGACAUAAGUAACGAUAAAGCGGGUGAAAAGCCCGCUCGCCGGAAGACCAAGGGUUCCUGUCCAACGUUAAUCGGGGCAGGGUGAGUCGACCCCUAAGGCGAGGCCGAAAGGCGUAGUCGAUGGGAAACAGGUUAAUAUUCCUGUACUUGGUGUUACUGCGAAGGGGGGACGGAGAAGGCUAUGUUGGCCGGGCGACGGUUGUCCCGGUUUAAG